CCGAGGAUCAUGAUUCGAGUAAAAAUUGUUGGCGAGAUUGCAGCAAAUAGACAAGCCUUUGUGGCUUUGUCUUUGAUUUUCUAGUCAUUUUCUCCCAAUGAUUCUUAAUUUGAGCAAUGGAAAUGGUUCUAAUGGCAGAGACUGUAGCAUCAAAGCAAAGAAAAAUGAUUUCAAGAUGCGGGGGGUGUUGCCAUAUUCUCUCUCUCAGAAACUGAGAAACCAGCUUUGACUGGGGCCUAAACCGACAGAUCCACAAGCUGUGAGCCAAUAAAACAUUAAAGUCUCAAGGACAGAAAUUUGUCUUCAAGGGGAAGAAGAAGCAUAUCGGGUUUUUAAAUCUGUCUUUUGCCUUGAAGCGUGAAGUUCCUCUUGUUGAGUAUAGUUAGGAUUGAAGUUUUUAUGUACCAACGGGCUUUAAUGAUUUCCGUUGGGGCUCAAAUAAUUUGUACAAGUUUGUUCAUCAAUCUUGUCAGCUCAUGAUAAUACUCUAUUGGCAUUAACCUUUAUCCCCCAUUUCUAUGUAUAAAUUUGUACACUAACAAGGCUAUUGUAUACAUCUAUUGUGACAGUACUAAGUCUCUCUCUCCAACAUUAGAUAAAAA